ACGCUCGACACCUACUGGAGGCAGCAGUGGGGAAUAUUGCACAAUGGGGGAAACCCUGAUGCAGCGACGCCGCGUGAGCGAAGAAGUAUUUCGGUAUGUAAAGCUCUAUCAGCAGGGAAGAAACUGACGGUACCUGACUAAGAAGCACCGGCUAAAUACGUGCCACCAGCCGCGGUAAUCUGAGCGGGCUGGCAAGGC
rnacentral:rRNA from 1 species